UACGAAGGGGGCUAGCGUUGCUCGGAAUCACUGAGCGUAAAGGGUGCGUAGGUGGUUUGUUAAGUCAGGGGUGAAAUCCCUCGGCUCAACUGAGGAACUGCACGGGAUACUGGAAGACUUGAGUUCGGGAGAGGGAAGCGGAAUUCCGGGUGUAGCGGUGAAAUGCGUAGAUAUCCGGAGGAACACCGGUGGCGAAGGCGGCUUCCUGGACCGAUCACUGACGCUGAGGCGCGAAAGCUAGGGGAGCAAACGGG
rnacentral:rRNA from 1 species